CCGAGGGGGGUAAUAAAAGAACUCUUAACUUGUUCUAUAAAUACACAAUCCAUCAACAUGAAUCAAUCCCACUGAUCAUUCACCAAAACCAAAAUCUCCAUUCACACACACCAAAAUCCAUGGCUCGGUUCCUCUCCCAAACCCUAAUCCGAACCACACCAUCAACCUCCCUACAAAUCUUCAAACCAAACCGCUUCUCAACCCGACCCGGAAAAUCACAACUGAUCGAAAUCGAUCUGGAAUCGGAAUCAGAUGUGGAGGUUUUAGGGCUACGAAAGCUGGAAGAUGCGAUUCAUAAUAUUAUUGUGCGGCAAUCGGCUCCCGAUUGGCUUCCGUUUGUUCCUGGAUCGUCGUAUUGGGUGCCUCCUCCUCCUUCUCAUCGUCAUGAUUUGUUUCAAGUGUUGAAGAAGGUUGCGAAUCCCUUGACGGAUGAUGAGGCUAUGGCGGUUGGUUCGUCUCGUGGUUGGCCUUCUUCUGCUUAUUUUAUUGAAGAUACUUCCCCAGUGCAUCCUGUGGAGGUGAAAUUUGAUACCAAUCAGGAUGAGGAAGAAUGAACUCACAUCUACCAUGUGUUGUAAUCUGUAAGUGUGCCACCUCUCAUUAACAUCUGAUUCCAUAAUUGUUAUUGUUGGUUUGUGUAUUUUUUAAUGUUCUGGAAUACGCUCAUCGCUGCUUUUUGUACAUAUUUAUAGUAGCUAGAGGGCCAUAGGUUGAAUGUACAGUUAGGUUUUAUGGCUGUUCUUAUGUAGGUAGGUUUAUAUUGUAAGUUUACUGUUGAUUUCUAUGUAAUAACAUAGGCAUGUAUGGAUCUUUUAUAAGCUUCUACCUAUCUCUCUGUUGUUUCUAUGUCAAUAGAAUUGUGAUUUUAAUUUCGCAACUAAAAUCAUGAGUUUUAUAAUAUAGUUUUGAUUUGAAAUGAGAUGAUCAUUGUUUGGUUAUAGUAAUGCAAACAGAAGUAUCAAUCUUAUGCUAAAUUGUCAAGUCAUUAACAAAAGCAAUUUUAUUAAAGAUUUAUGUCAUAAUUAAGGGUGGUGGUAGGUCUCAACUCUUAAUUAGGUAAUGCAGUGACAAUGAGUGGUGACUGGAAGUAGGCGAUGAUAGGAGGUAGACAGACACUCGACCCGAGGUGGCUGGUGGGGAUCGAUAACAUUGGCUGUGGUGUGUGGGCUGUGGCCGCCAAUGACAGCAUGACAAAUGGACUGGAAAUGUUUGUAAAUCCUUGAAAAACAACACUUUUGAAGUGUUUUAAAAAUCGGUUCAUUUACCUGUUAGAAGAUAUGUGAUGAAUAAAGAAAUUGUUUACUCUAGAAAUUAAGGGGUUGUUUGGCAACCUCGGUAAGUGCUGAACUAGUAAAAGGUAAGAGGUCCGAAUGGGUAAGAGACUCUGAACCAGUAAGUGUUAAGCUAGUAAAGUGUUGUUUGGUUGAACAUCUGAAUGACUAUGAAGAAUGACCUUUCUCACCCCUUUGACCAACUUUGUGCUAUAUGAAAUAUGUGUUUGUUUAACGCUUUGGGUGGGUGACUGUACUGAAUAAUGAAUAAUUAAAAAAGAAAAAUACAAAACAUCAUAGAAAAAUAUAUACUUAAGAAACAUCAUUGAUACUCUAGGCUACAUGUAAUGGACCACCUGAGUUGAGUGGAUAAUAGAGUAGACAAUGAUGAGGAACACGAGGAAGACCACAUUCAGGACAACCACCUUUUUCCAAUCACUCUAUAUGUUAGACUGCUAUGGUCUCUAGAUCAAGUAGUGAAAAACUUGUAUUUUUUUUUAGAGAUGCAUAUUCAACUCUCACUUGGUGCAGAGUGAAGCACUGGUGGUCAAUGAUAGGAGACCUAGGGAAACCUGGGUUAGAUCCUUGAGCCAAACGGGUUUUACCGGUAAUUUCACUGUCGCGUCUACGGGCGGGUGGGUUACUGGGUUUUCUCUGGAAUUGGUGGUGGACUCGGGUUACUCUCGGAGUACUCCGUUUGUCUAGUGGGUGCCCCGAGAGUGCUCGGGAUUGAUUCUGGGGGCCAUGGGGGUAGCCCCAAGAGUGCUCGGGAUUGAUUUUGGUGGGCCAUGGUUGGCUGGUUCAAUGUAGCCGUUGGGGGUAGCAGGUAUGCAAAACUAAAUUUAAAAAAAAAAAAUACAUUUUUUACCUAUAAAUACCUAACCCCAAACCAUAUUUUCCCAUUCUUCUUCACCCAUACCGACACACAAAAAAAAAAAAAAAGAAAAAAAACCGAACAUGGUGCAUUGGAUCGAAGAGGAAGAAAUCGCACUUGUGACAUCGUUUGUCGAUGCACAACGUACUCUAUAACGAGGUCAAACACUUAUUGGAGUCGAACGUUUCAACAAUAUCAACAACACGCGUCAUAACUUAAACGCGUGUAGCACGUAUAUGUACAUUGAAGGAACCAAUUGUUCUGAAUAUCAUUUGAUAAUGUACAUACAUGUUCUAAUGAUAGUGUACAUAUAUCUACAAAUUAACAAAUUAUUUAACUAUGGAGAAAAAUGAUAUGGUUUUAGGGUUUAGCUUUAGGAUUUAGUUUUAGGGUUUAGAGGUUAUGAUUUAGGGUUUAGGGUUAAGAGAUUCUAGUUAGGGUUCGACGAGCCGGUUCCAACGCCGCUGUAGUGUUCCUCAAUGAACCUCACACUAUACAUAUAUGUAUAAAUGAAUAAAUUUUAUAACGGAAGAGGGAACUAAUGUAAAUAUAUGUACAAAUUAACAAAUUAUUUAACCAGAAAGAUAAAAGUUGAGAUGAUACAAUCAAAUAUUUAACUAGAGAGAAAAUUCAGACUUUAUCCUUGUGCCAUUUUUAUUUAUUUUUAGUUUUUAAGAUAUAAAAAAUGAGUGGUCCAAAUUGGACGUUCUGUAAGUUCUCAAGUUCCUUUCGGUUGAAAAAAUUGUAGUUAUAAUAUCAUCAUUCAACUAGAUCCACUAAUGUCAAAUGGUAAUGAGAAUUCACUAGCGACUUAAACAGAACCAUCCUAUUUGAAGAUUUACACCAUUUUCUUGAGUCUCAUUUAACAGAGGAAGAUGAAAGAAAAAAGAUGAAAAUAUGAAAAAAAUCAUGUUCCCGAGAUUUUUUAAGGAAAGAAGGGGAGGGGAGGGAAAAGGAGGAAAAAGAGAAGAAAAUUUGUACGUAUUAUUAUCCUCCAAAAUUGGAAAGAUUAUGAGAGAAAAUUUUGACAAUUACUAAGUUACCCUCGUAUUUAAUAAAUCUCACCUUCAGUUAUUUUACAGAUAAAUUUUGGCGCAACUUUUUCAUUCCCAUCUCUCUUCACCCAAGUUUCACUCUCUGACUUCUGACACCACCACCCAAACUCCGACCACCACUCGCCACCGCCAUCGGAUCUCUCUCGCAGAACCACCGUUAAAAGAUCGCAAUUCAUCAUGAGCAAACAUGACGUCAGUGAAAAUACCAGUGAGAAAGAAAACAUGAUGUGGACGGAAACUAUGGAUAAUGCAUUCAUACAAUCCAUGAUAACGCAAGAGAUCAAUGGUUAUAGGAUUGGUGGAAAUUUUACUCCACAAGCAUACAAAAAUAUGGUUGCGGAGCUUAGCACAAAUCUUUAAAUGACUUUUACCAAAGCUCAUUUGAAGAAUCGUUUAAAGACGUUGAAACACCGUUUUUCUGCCUGGUAUGAUAUGUUUUAGGGAACGUCAUUAAGUGGGUUCUCAUGGAAUCCUGAAACUCAACUAAUUGAAGUGAAGGAUGAAGUCUAGAAAAAAUUAAUAGACUCAAAGACAAAAGCUGCAGCAUUGAAGACGAAGAUAGUCACAAACUAUCAUGAAAUGCUAGAACUAUUUGCAAAGGAUAGGGCAUUAGGUGCACAAGCUGAAACUGCUAAAGAAAGAAAUGCCCGAUUGCAGAAGGAUGAUGGCAUUAACACAGAAACACCUCCAGAAUUGGAUGAAUUCUUAGUUGCCAAUGAUGCAACUCUAAAGAGCCAAUACAAUCUUGAUGAUGAUGUUCAUGUGGUUGAUCUUACGUCUUCUCUACCCGAGCAGUCUUCUAGUGCAAAGAAAUAUAAGAGUAGAAAAAGAAAAGUCGAACAAGAAGAUGAUGGUUUAACCUCAAUGAUUAUGAAUGGUGUUGGAAGCAUAGCUAAUGGUAUCGCUGAAGGUAAUAAAAUUAUUUAGGAAAGCAAUAAAAUACUUGAAAGAGUUCAUCAUCUCGAGUACACAGGUGAAGAAAUUAUUAAAGAACUGGAACUGAUGGGUUUGGAACCUCAAGAAAUACCACUGGCUUUCAAUUA